UACGGAGGGUGCAAGCGUUAAUCGGAAUUACUGGGCGUAAAGAGUGCGUAGGUGGUUGUGUGUGUUAGAUGUGAAAUCCAUGGGCUUAACCUGUGAAUUGCAUUUAAAACUGCAUAGCUAGAGUGUUGUAGAGGGUGGCGGAAUUUCCAGUGUAGCGGUGAAAUGCGUAGAUAUUGGAAGGAACACCAGUGGCGAAGGCGGCCACCUGGACAAACACUGACACUGAGGUACGAAAGCGUGGGUAGCGAACAGG
rnacentral:rRNA from 1 species